GAUGAACGCUGGCGGCGUGCCUAAUACAUGCAAGUCGAGCGAACAGAUGAGGAGCUUGCUCCUCUGACGUUAGCGGCGGACGGGUGAGUAACACGUGGAUAACCUACCUAUAAGACUGGGCUAACUUCGGGAAACCGGAGCUAAUACCGGAUAAUAUAUUGAACCGCAUGGUUCAAUAGUGAAAGACGGUUUUGCUGUCACUUAUAGAUGGAUCCGCGCCGCAUUAGCUAGUUGGUAAGGUAACGGCUUACCAAGGCAACGAUGCGUAGCCGACCUGAGAGGGUGAUCGGCCACACUGGAACUGAGACACGGUCCAGACUCCUACGGGAGGCAGCAGUAGGGAAUCUUCCGCAAUGGGCGAAAGCCUGACGGAGCAACGCCGCGUGAGUGAUGAAGGUCUUCGGAUCGUAAAACUCUGUUAUUAGGGAAGAACAAAUGUGUAAGUAACUAUGCACGUCUUGACGGUACCUAAUCAGAAAGCCACGGCUAACUACGUG
rnacentral:rRNA from 1 species